CGUGAGAUCAGGUGGACCUGCUUCUGGUAAUCUCAGUUUUGUUAGUAGCAAGUGGUCAAUUUAGUAUUCAUUGGCAACAAAAAGAAGUGAAUGAUAUCAUGCCAUAAUUUAGUGUUGCUUCCCGGUCCUGGAUAGAUGAUGUAUUGUAUUUCUGCAUAAGCUAGGAAAUCUACAAAUUGAUUAUCUGUAAACUAUUUGUCCAUACUUCUCCAAGAUCUGAACAUAUACCAUCUUUGCUGAUCGAUUUUAUUACUAAGUAGCAGAUUCCUCCUGGUGCUUGGGACGUUUUCGGCUAGAUUGAUUUACUAGCUACGUCCAAGCAGGCCACUGGAUUGAUUUCAUGAGGCUUACUAGCUACGUCCCAAUCAAGAUAGCUAGACUUACUAGCUACGUCCCAAGCAGGCCACUGGAUUGAUUUCAUGAGGCUUACUAGCUACGUCCCAAUCAAGAUAGCUAGACUUACUAGCUACGUCCCAAGCAGGCCAAUCCAAUAUGUUGAUCAAUUUGAUUGUUCUGGCUGGAGGUCAGGAGGUCAGAAGGUGCGUCCUUCACACUAAAUCGUACCCGAAGUUCUACAAUUAGGUAUGAUUACAACUAGGAAGCUACCCUUCCUGGAUAACUAUUUUAGUACCUGUUUUUAUUUACUAAUGAGAACUAAAUAAAUUGGCUACUGUCAUGUUUAUCCCUUAAAAAAAGAUUCUGGUAGAUGUGCUUGACAAUAAUAAUGGUAAUACCUAAAGGAGUUCUCUUGCUCCAAGUUAGCGCCUAUAUAUUCUUAGCUACCAUGUACUUGGGUUACUGGUUUGUGUUAAGGAUUCCGCUACUGUUGCCAAGGUAUCUACAGAAUUUUGUUAUAGUACUAGCUGAACAGAAAAAGAAAUCGGCUAUUAAUUUACUAGACUCUAUUUCAGUCUAAUUAGUGGAGACUUAGAGAGUGGAAGGAAUGUUUUAAAAACCUAAUAUAAAAAUAUGAAAUAUUUAGUUAUUCUCUAUAUCCGAGAAAGCAAUAAAGAACUUUGUGUUAGGCAGUGCACUGCGGGAGCGUGUACUGCGACUAUUUCUGCACUGCCGAGGAAGGCUUGAUCUUUCCCACAGGUCCACCUUCUUUACCUUUCCGUUCUUUGAACUGGAUAAGUUCUGAUAUUCUAACAUUGAUGGAAAAUCAUUAUCUUCUGUAAAGCCACAUUUCAUUUUAUGAUUUUUAGCAGAAGCUCGCUUCGAGGUCUUGGUGUGGGGCUGCUGGGGAAGGGAAUGUCCUUCUACUUAGUGAAAGUCGUUGUUGCUGAGGCUGAUUUUACCUUCUUUCUAAGUGUUCUAUUUUAUUAGUGCAAUUGGUUCGAGUUAAACUAACAUCCAUCGUACAAAUAUUUGUGGGACAUAUUCAGGUAAAUUUACCAUGUUCUGUUUUCAUUACCCAGCGCUAAAAUGUAGAUGUUAUGAUGACCAAUGACCAUAAACUAUACAGGAUUGGGCAAAGAAUCACUCUGGUGACCUAGAGAUAGAUGAAGCUUUAAAGAAGGGAGAAGAUGCUGGGCUUGCCUUGGUUAGCAGCAAUUAUCAUUUCAUUUUUGUGUUUAUCAGCAUAAGCUAAUAUCUGGAAGUAGGGCUUCUUUACUCUGUACUCCUGCAAUUUUUAAUGUUCCUGGUGUCACUUUCCCCAGUACUCUUCUAUAGCUGUGUUUUGUGCUAAAAAGUGAAAAAUUCAAACGUUUUGCAGUCACUACCAGCAAGUAAUAGCACUGACUAUUAUUUUAAAUAAAAUAUGGAAUCGAGCUUUCAGCUGCAUCUUUUAGCAUCCUAGCGCACUCAUCAACUUCAGAGUUACCACUGGGGUCACUUUUCUCAAGAAAUCUGGAAAGAAGCGAGGAUUCUCAAGUAAGAUAAGUCUGCUUACAAAAAUUUGCCUACUGGAAAGUAGAUAAGAGACUCAUGAAGUAAGAAUACAUGCCUACAUAUUAUACAUAGCAGGCUUCUGACUUCUCUGAUUCUGCAAGCCUUGAGGCUGUGAAACAUCUAUGCUAGGUCGCCACACUUCUGCCACCUUCAUUUGAUGAGGUACAUUCAGAUUCGGUUUGUUUAUAUUACUUUAUGGAUGCUUCUCUUCUCAUUACAGUGCUGGGCAAUUUGAUGAGAAAUUAUCUUCUCUUUGAUGGUCCAGGUUCAGCGUUCACUACUAUGAAAGAAGGAGGCAUAUAUUUUCCUUGUGGAAUUUCCAGUAGAAUGGCAGUGAGAACGAGUAAAAAUCUACAACAGGUAAUACAUUAUUUUGAAGCUACAUGGAAAGCAAAGUAAGCACAUGGAUCCCUCAUUUGAGAGUGGGGGUUAAACUUCCCUGGACUUCUCCCUUAAUUCUUACUGUAGUCUUUUUAUUCACAUUUCCUAUUGUGUAGUUGGUGACAAUGAUGAAUUGCUAUCCACUUGAGAAAAUAAAGAUUAAAUCGAUGAUGCUCUCAAAAGUAAAAUGACUUUCUGAGCUGGAUAGAGGCAACCUUUUUCCUUGUUUGUUAUAAUGAUAUUUUCAUUUUCCUGUGUAUAUUAAACUUGAGAAUAUUAUUCUGCAUUACUUCAACCGUUACUUUUUAUGUGUUUGCAGUAUGACUGUAUGGUUCUCACUCAAAGUAGAGGCCCAACAAAAUUUUUUGAAGUAGGAGUCGAAAACUACAAAUCCAUCUAUUCCUAGAAUGGAGCUGGUUGGAGUUGAGCCUAAAAUUGAGCGGGUAGUUCGGUGGCACCGACAUCCAGCUGAAAGUUUUAUAGGAGGGUUAGUAAAGCAAAUUUGUUCAUGAGCAAAUGUGCCAGCAAAACAUUGAGUCAGAGUGCAAGACAAAUGCUCUUAACAGUUUUUUUGGUCGCUUUUCUUUAAUUACAAUUCUUAUUAUUUUUAGUUGGCAUUGAUGUACAAAAGAAAAUCCUGUGCCUUUUUUGUCCUCUCAUUGACCAUUGUAUUUUUGAGUCAUAUCAAUCUAUGUAAAAGAAUUCAGUACCUUAUGUUUUGUAUAUUUGGAAAUGUCUAAAGGCGUGGUGUUAUAUAAUAACUGUAUGAUAU
rnacentral:lncRNA from 1 species